CUCCGUUCCGAUGGAGGCAAGAAACCACGUAAAGCCACAGCGGGAGCCUGAUGUACGUGAGGGGAAACGGUGAUAAAACAGCGGCUGGGCAUCAAUCACAGAUGUCAUUGUAGCAGAAGUCAAGCAGUCAAGUGAGAUUUGCGCCCCAGGUCAGUCACACUGCUGUCAUCAGCUCUGCCACAUGGUGUCCUGAGAACUGGGACUGACAUCAGCCACAUUGCCGAGGGUGAAACAACUGCAGGGAACCAGGAAAGCCAGACUUAGGGGUCUAAAUAUUACCUAAGGUUUAAGACUGAGGAUCCUGAGCCAAAAGAGGCCCAGUAAGAUCCAUCACCUCUCAAAGUGAUUAAAGUGCAGUCACAGACAUUUUGGAGCUGAAGCUCCAGCACUCGGCACUUACAUGGAAAAGAAGAAUCCUACAAAUACACAAAAUAGCUCAUAUGC